rnacentral:rRNA from 1 species
UACGGGGGGAGCAAGCGUUGUUCGGAUUUACUGGGCGUAAAGAGCUCGUAGGCGGUCUGUCGCGUCUGCUGUGAAAACUCAGGGCUUAACCCUGAGCUUGCAGUGGGUACGGGCAGACUAGAGUGCGGUAGGGGAGACUGGAAUUCCUGGUGUAGCGGUGAAAUGCGCAGAUAUCAGGAGGAACACCGGUGGCGAAGGCGGGUCUCUGGGCCGAUACUGACGCUGAGGAGCGAAAGCGUGGGGAGCGAACAGG